rnacentral:rRNA from 1 species
UAAAGCGAAUAAGGGCACAUGGUGGAUGCCUUGGGUCUGAGAGGCGAAGAAGGACGUGGUAAGCUGCGAAAAGGCAGGGGGAGCUGCACACGAGCGUUAAAUCCCUGCAUAUCCGAAUGGGACAACCUGUUAUGCUGAAGGCAUAACAUUCCGAAAGGAAAGCCAACCUCCUGAACUGAAACAUCUAAGUAGGGAGAGGAAAAGAAAAUAAUAAUGAUUCCCAAAGUAGUGGCGAGCGAACUGGGAAGAGCCCAAACCAUUGGAGCGUGCUCCAGUGGGGUUAUAGGACCACAUUUAGAAACCGACAUCAAUCUGAACCAUCUGGAAAGUUGGGCCAAAGCAGGUGAAAGCCCUGUAGGGGAAAAUUGUUGGGGACGAGUGGAAUCCUGAGUAGCGCGGGACCGGAGGAAUCUUGCGUGAAUUUGCCGGCACCAUCCGGUAAGGCUAAAUACUCCUCAGACACCGAUAGUGAACCAGUACCGUAAGGGAAAGGUGAAAAGUACCCUGAAUAAGGGAGUGAAAUAGUACCUGAAACCGUGUGCCUACAAGCGGUCGGAGUCUCUACGUUCGUAGAGAUGACGGCGUGCCUUUUGCAUAAUGAGCCUACGAGUUACUCCUCACUGGCGAGGUUAAGUUUUUGAGAAACGGAGCCGAAGCGAAAGCGAGUCCGAACAGGGCGUUACAGUCAGUGGGGGUAGACGCGAAACUUUGUGAUCUAUCCAUGAGCAGGUUGAAGGUGUGGUAACACACACUGGAGGACCGAACCCGUUAACGUUGAAAAGUUUUGGGAUGACUUGUGGAUAGGGGUGAAAGGCCAAUCAAACUGAGAGAUAGCUCGUUCUCCCCGAAAUGUUUUUAGGAACAGCGUCAUUUAUAGAUAUCAUAGAGGUAGAGCUACUGAUUGGGCUAGGGGGCUUCACCGCCUACCAAACCCUGACAAACUCCGAAUGCUAUGAUAUUGGAAUGGCAGUGAGGCUGCGGGCGCUAAGGUCCGUGGCCGAGAGGGAAAUAACCCAGAAUAGCGACUAAGGUCCCUAAUACGUAGUUAAGUUGAACAAACGAGGUGGGGCUUCAAUAACAGCCAGGAUGUUUGCUUGGAAGCAGCAAUUCAUUUAAAGAGUGCGUAACAGCUCACUGGUCGAGAGGCCCUGCACGGAAAAUGAUCGGGCAUCAAACUACGAACCGAAGUUCUAUGAUUGCAUUUAUGUAAUCGGUAGGGGAGCAUUCUAACCUGCGUUGAAGCAUUAUGGUGAUGUAUUGUGGAGCGGUUAGAAAAGAAAAUGUAGGCAUAAGUAACGAUAAAAUAAGUGAAAAACUUAUUCGCCGUAAGACUAAGGUUUCCUGAUCAACGUUAAUCGGAUCAGGGUUAGUCGGGUCCUUAGGCAAACCCGAAAGGGGUAGUCGAUGGAAAGCUGGUUAAUAUUCCAGCACCUGCUAUGCAAUGAAAGUGACGGAUUGAUGUAGUCUGUACGUACUGACGGAAUAGUGCGUUGAGUUGAAUCUUCGGAGGAGACGAACAGGUGAAAUUGGUUCCAAGAAAAGCGAGUAUAGCAGCUCGUACCGCAAACCGACACAGGUAGUCGAGAUGAGUAUUCUAAGGCGCUCGGGUGAGCCGUGGAGAAGGAACUAGGCAAAUUGACGCUGUAACUUCGGGAUAAGGCGUGCCUGCUUCGGUAGGCCACAGUAAAAUGAUCCAACCAACUGUUUAACAAAAACAUAGGGCCCUGCAAAAUCGAAAGAUGACGUAUAGAGCCUGAUACCUGCCCGGUGCCGGAAGGUUAAGGAAGGGUGUUCGUCUCUACGCAAGUAGAGACAAAGCACUUGACUGAAGCCCCGGUAAACGGCGGCCGUAACUAUAACGGUCCUAAGGUAGCGAAAUUCCUUGUCGGGUAAGUUC